AAGUGAUUUCCUCUCCUGAUGAGGACGGUACCUAUACUGCCUCCUGCUUUGCCAAAGAGUUUGCACCAAAGAAACAUGAGAUCAAAUGGCUACAAAAUGGAGCAGACGUCACCAGCAAUAUAGAUCUGAUCAGUACAGUUUCUGAAUCAAAAAAGGCAAAUGGAAAGAAAGUGUACAACGCAGCAAGUUUUCUCACAGUAAAUUCCAGUGAUGUAAAUGAACGAACUGCAUUUAUGUGUAUUUUUACGGGAGGUCAAAGCACAUCUUUGAAUAAAACUGACAGAGACAACACAGUUGAUAUUUCCACAACUGCCGAUCCGAAAAACAAUGGGACAACAGUGACAGUCCACACCCUCCCACAGCUGCACACUGACCCAUUAAAUGCUAAAGAUGAAAUCACUCUGGUGUGUCUAGUCACCAGUACUGUGAAUAAAAUAUAUAAAAUCGAAUGGACAGAAAGUUAUGGACAAAAUUCUGGACGUUAUCUUAAAGGCACCGACGUCCCUCUACAGCAGAGCAAAAAUGACAAGAAAUGGCGAAGUAUGAGUCUUUACACCACCACCAAGGAAAACUGGUACAAAAACAAUCCAACCAAAAUGUUCACCUGCCAUGUCCAACCUGGAAAUCUUAAAAAAUCAGUGUCCGUCGCCCAUGAUGACUUUUGUGAUCUGAGUUGGGACAAUAUCAUCACUGAAGACGAUUUUAGCAGCCUGUGGUCCACAGCUUCCUCCUUCAUAUUCCUCUUCAUAUUAUCUCUGUUGUACAGCAUAAUUAUCAGCCUUCUUAAGAUAAAGAGAUGAUAACAAAUGGGAUGGAAUGGGUGCACUUCAUUUCUAAUCUGUUUUUAAAAUGUAUUUUUCAUUUUAUUUUUAUGCACAUAAUCAUUUAUUUUUAUUAAAUGGGUGUCAUAUAUAAAUACCCAAUUAAGAGAUGUACAAAAAUGUGAAAAAAAAAAGGUAAAUAAAA